GAUGAACGCUGGCGGCGUGCUUAACACAUGCAAGUCGAACGGAAAGGCUCCUGCUUGCAUGCGUACUUGAGUGGCGAACGGGUGAGUAUCACGUGGGUGAUCCCCCCUGCACUUCGGGAUAAGCCUUGGAAACUGGGUCUAAUAUCGGAUAGGAUGUUGUUAUGGAUGUCAUUGUGGAAUGAUGUUCGGUGUGGGAUGGGCUCGCGGCCUAUCAGCUUGUUGGUGGAGUAAUGGCCGACCAAGGCGCCGACGGGUAGCCGGCCUGAGAGGGUGGACGGCCACAGUGGGACUGCGAUACGGCGCAGAAUCCUAUGGGAGGCAGCGGUGGGGAAUAUUGCACAAUAAGCGAGAGCGUGAUGCAACGACGCCGCGUGGGGGAUGACGGCCUUCGGGGUGUAAACUCCUUUCGCUAGGGACGAAGCGCAAGUGACGGUACCUGGAGAAGAAGCACCGGCUAACUACGUG
rnacentral:rRNA from 1 species